GAUUCCUUCCCUGGCAGAAAUCAAACUUGCCAUGAGCUGUGAGUAGUCCUGUUUGGAUUCCUUCCGUGGCAGAAAUCAAACUUGCCAUGCAUUUGUUCCUUCUAUCCUCUCUCUUUGAAUUUCAAAGAAGAACUGGAAAAACAGUAAUUAUUCAAGAUUUUAAACUGUAAUGCAGUGAAAUACUCCUUUCCUCAGGAUAGCAGGGUCUUUCCUGGAGGCAGGAAUGUGCGACAUCCUUUGGAAAAAGUUCUCUUAUUCACGGUGUUUCGCAAACCUGGCAAUGUGUUCAAGUCAGCCGGGGGCUUCAGGAGGGAGAAUUUCCCAAGAAGAAGGUCACUUCUGGACUCGCUUUCUGGGACAUCAACGGACUCACAGAGAAUCCGAAAAUCAGAGAAUCCGUGGCAGGGGAAGGCAGAGGUUGCCUGUUCCUUUACUUAGAAGGAGCUGAAGGCCUUUGUGAGGACAGGUCCAUCCAGGAAGCUCCUUUGGGGAAACCAAGCAGAAAGGAGGCCUCAGGAAAUUCCCUGAGACACAGACUGUAAGUAUCCACCCCCCACCCCAGGCUCCUUAUUUUGGUCCUCUCCCUGCUUACAUACCAAUUACAAUGCCUAGGUCAGGACCAAAACACAGGAGAAGGUAACAGCAGUAAUGGACAUAGGAGUGAGGCCACCUGGCCAAGUGUGAUCUUGCUUCCAGGACCGUCGAAUGCACACACAGCCAAACGGAUGUGAGACCACACAGCUUAUCCUGCCGCCUGCCUUCUGCAGCUGUGUUUCUCAGCUUUCCUCCCACCCCAGGAUUCAGCCUGCCUGGCCCAGCGCUGCCCCUUCUGCUGUCCUGAAGGUCUUACCUCCUGCGGCUCCUUCUGUCCCAUCCUGGUGGCUGCCCACACCCAUCUUUCGAGUGCCCACCUGUGCAAAUCCCAGCACUGCCUCCCUCCUUCUGUAUGUACUGCUCAACCCUGCACCCCACCCUGCUCCCCACACCAUGGUGGGAAGAAGCCCCCUCUUUUCCUCCCUGUGUCCUGCACCUGGAGCAGAGCCCACGUGACGGAAACCCAGGAGCUUUCCUUGAGGGAAUAAAAGCGAAUAGGACUGGGCGCAGUGGCUCAUGCCUGUAAUCCCAGCACUUUGGGAGGCCGAGGCGGGCGGAUCAUCUGAGGUCAGGAGUUUGAGACCACCCUGGCCAACAUGAUGAGAUCCCGUCUGUACUAAAAAUACAAAAAUUAGCCAGGCGUGGUGGUGGGUGCCUGUAAUCUCAGCUAUUUGGGAGGCUGAGGCAGGAGAAUCGCUUGAGCCCGGGAGGUGGAGGUUGCAGUGAGCCGAGAUUGCGC
rnacentral:lncRNA from 1 species